UACGUAGGGUGCGAGCGUUGUCCGGAAUUAUUGGGCGUAAAGAGCUUGUAGGCGGUUUGUCGCGUCUGCCGUGAAAACUCGGGGCUCAACCCCGAGCCUGCUUCUGAUACGGGCAGACUAGAGGUAUGCAGGGGAGAACGGAAUUCCUGGUGUAGCGGUGAAAUGCGCAGAUAUCAGGAGGAACACCGGUGGCGAAGGCGGGUCUCUGGGCCGAUACUGACGCUGAGGAGCGAAAGCGUGGGAGCAAACAGG
rnacentral:rRNA from 1 species